rnacentral:lncRNA from 1 species
UAGAACUCGGUUUGGGCUUUUGAAAUUGCUGAUCCCAAGUGUAUUUUCUCCACAAAAAUCACCCAACCCUGUUAAUGUUAAAACUCAUGCCCUUACCCAGCCCAAACCCGAUCUCAUCUAUCACCCACCCAUUUAAAACCCCAAUUAUAACCCAAAGAGAAAAACCUAACCCUAAUUAAUAAGAACCGAACGGCGCCUUCUCUUUUCUUCCUCUUCAGCCGCAUCAAACAGCCCCAAACUCCCUUGAAAUUUAGGCGAGUGCAACCAAACUCACCUCACGCUCUCCCCCAUUCUCUCCUCUUGCCACAUAGUGUAACGGUCUUUGACAAUAAGAAGCUUCCUUCCAGAUCUUUGUGUGUCUUUAGCCUCUCGAUCGAUUUGCUGGAUGAAUGGGAGCCGUGGAUGGAUGAAAAUCAAUUCAUGCCCUCCAUUUGUCCCAAAAAUCGUUCACAGAAAGAGAUUGAAAAGGAAUUUUGGAUUUUUGGGCAGAAGGGUCGAGAAAUUUGGGAGUUUAUAUAAGGUGAGGAUUUUCUUGUGUGAGGGGGUCCUAGAGAUAGAUUUUCAGAGAAAAUUUUGAGAGGUAAAAGUUCUAGGGCUAGGUCGAGUUUCAGAUUUUUCCUUCGGAAUUUCUAGUCUAUCUCUUGAAAAAUAUAGAAAUCUCUUCAGUUUUUCUUUUAUUUGGAUAUCAGAAAAAAUAUAAUAAAAAAGGGUCUGUUUCCUCUGUUUCCAUUUCGAAAUUUUGGUUGAAAAAUGGAGUUCAACUGAGGUACUGGGAGUUUGAUUGACUUGAAUUGUCGUUCGAGUCCUACUACCGGUUCGCGUUUCUUAGUUUGAAUUGUUGUUAUUUUCUUGCUGGAAUUUUGGAUUCAAAGCUUUCUAGUCGACCUCACUUCUAUUAUCAAAAGAAAGGUUCAAUUUCAGGUUCAUCUCUUUACUCCCUCUUAACUUGUUCUGGCAUUGAUCGAAAUGUGUUGAUAGUUGAGAUUUUAUUAGAUUGGGAAUGUUUAUGAGCUGGUUUAUGUGAAACCAGCCUGUGAUGCAUUAUUGUCAUGAACGCUACUGUUUUCAUUGGUUUUGGCAUACCUUCUCUACUAUAUUGGUUCUGUUUACUAUUGAUUCUUUCAUUGAAGUAGUUUAAUUAAUUUGAGUCGUAAAUCCGUAGUGCAUCAUUGUGAUAGGAUUUGAAAGAAAUAGAAUUAAAGUCUCGUCGUCACUAUUCUAAUUUAUCGCCUUAAUUAAGUCCUUCGGCGAAAAUGGACAGCUUCGAGUUUUUGUUAGGAUUCAGUUCGUUAUUUGAAGUCUUCUAUUUUGAAAUUAACUUCUGGAUCUUUAACUCGAGUGAAUCAGCAUUUGAUGGCUAAAAUGUCGAAACAGUACUACUUGCCUUCAAUUUUUUGUUUUAACAUGGAACUUGUGUGAGAAAUGUUGUUUAUAUCUCAUGAGAUCUUUGUUUUCAUUUUUAUUUUUGGCAAAUCACUUAUUUAGCUGAAAUCCCCUGAUGCGGUUAACUGAGUGAAACAUAUUUCAUAUUUAUUGAUUCAAAACUAACUUUCAUAGUUUCUUGGAGUGUUGGUUCUUUGUAGUGUCCCGUAUGUUAAGUGAGUAAAAUAACUUGAGAGUGAGACUUAUCAUGAGAUUUUCAAUCCUAACUGUGUAAUGAUUGAAAGUUUGCUUUGUAAAUGAGUGUUAUGUGGAAUUAAAAUGAAAUGAGGAGAUCUGGUUAGUUUAAAAUUAAGUCACCAUGUAGUAGUUAUGUUACUCCUAGUAGAAUAGGAAGUAUUUUCAGUCAUAGUGAUUCUGGAGGAGCUGUACGUGUGAGCCAAAGUGGUAUGUAUUGGUUUUGGUUGUGAGUUUGAAGCUAUAGUUCUUAGUAUCUAUGAUUCUUUUACCAAGUCCUUAUUGUGGGGCAAUUAAGUGUAUGAAAGUUUAAAUGUCCUAUAUUUUGUUCUUCAUGUAAUUUUCUAUGUGAAAGAGGUGGAGUGUAUACUACUGCUGUCAUUGUUGGCUAAGAUUUAGGUUUGAUGAUUAUUGAGUAAUGUGAAUUGAGCAAGUCUCGUUAUUAGGUUAAUAUUUUAAAACAUGUUUGGAUCACUCUGUUAAUUGGAAAAAAUGCAUUUUUUAGGGACAAAAUCCUUUAGAAUGGUUUUAAGGUUUUAGAAGAUUAGAUAAAGCACUUGGUUAGAUAAGUAUUGAUUUAGUCUUGGUAGCAAUAUUUGAUUAAUUUGGGAUCUUAAGUGGCUAUUUUCUAGUUUUGAUAUUGGAUAAGUAUUGAUUUAGUGUCUAAAUGACAUAUGCUCAAAUGCUUUCAUGUUAAUCUUGAGUUUUGAGCUUCAUAGCAGUAUCAUGUUUGAUCUUCAUGUUAUUAUUUCCCUUUCUUCUUCAACGUGUCUUGUAUGUUUGCUGAUGAAAUUUCUAUUAUUUGGUCUGCCUUUGUCUUGGACGAUGAAAUAUUGGGGAAGUAGGAAAUGAGAAUUUAGAUCUUAAAUUUUCCAUUGCUUCUGUUUAUUGCUUUAUUACUCGUUAGGAUCAUGUUCUAGGCCGACCACACUUGGGUAUGCAAACUUUAGGUUUGUUUUUUCCUUAUUUUUGAGGCAAGAGUUUGUUCAUUGUUGGUUAUUAUUAUUCCAUGUUCCAUGUUAAUAAUAAAUCGUCAUAGCUACGGGUACGUUCCCGUGAUAUAGUUGUGACAUAUAAUUUCCAAAUUCGGGUGUACAUUUCAUGUGACCCGACUUCAAUAUCCAAUAAUGUUAAAUAAAUUAAACAUUAUCGUGAACCGCGGGUCCAUUUUAUGUAGCGUGAUUUAUGAUGUGUUUUCCAAAAAAACAAGUGUAUGAUAGUCACGAAUUAUCUUUAAAACAUUAAAAGUGGUUAGAAAGUUAAAAAUGCAUGUAGAUUUUAGAUGUGUAAUUAACCAGAUAAUUAGGCCAAUACAGUUAAGCGACCGUGCUAAAACCACGGAACCCAAGAAUGCCUAACACCUUCUCCCGAGUUAACAGAAUUCCUUACCCGAAUUUCUAUGUUUCGCGGACUGUAAAACCGAGUCAAACUUCCUCGAUUCAGGAUUUUAAAUCGGUGACAUGGGAUACCAUAAAUUAUCCUAAGUGAUGACUCUGAUUUGAUCUAAAUAAUUCCGUUUCGCUUGUCACUUAAAUUGAAAAAACUCCCCUAUGCCCUUUCGGGGGUAGAAAAAGGAGGUGUGACACCUGCAACUAGCAAGCAUCAAGGUUCAAAUCAAAAGUCUGCAUGAAGAACCAUUCAAGACUCAAGAUCAAGAUUCAGUAGACUUAUAAAUAGGAAUCUUGUAACUCAUAACUGAUAGGCUUGCUUAGUUCUUUUAGAUUUUGAUUUGAUGUAAUAAUAGGACCGCGGACCGGAACCUCGGCGGAACGGUAUCUCAUUCGAAUCUUUCAUCCUCUCUACACACUCUGUCGCUCUUCCUACUUCUGAACUACACCUAAUUCCUUUAUAGCCAAGGAUAUGUAGGCAGCUCAGAUACCAGGGCUCGGUCAUAAUCUUUUACCCAUAUUUCUUUUCUUUUGAAUAAGUGUCAGGUCAGAAAUCAAUGACGUUGCUUACUUGUUUCUUUGCUAAAAAAUACUUCACGUUUCCAAGCAAAGAGGGGCAGUUGUAAGCACGUAAUUUUUGACCCGCAUAUUAGAAUUACCUUUAAUAGUCCUAGUAUUUUUAGAAUAUUUAUUUGAGUUUAUUUCUAUAGGAUUUCACUUUAUUAUUAAUCUUAAUUCUAUUUUUAAAGCACAAAAAUUGAAAAAUACAAAAAUAGUUUUAUUUUUUCUAUUUAAUUCAGGUAUUAUGUAUUUUUGGAAAGAUAUUAUUUUUAACCCAUUUUUAUUUUAGUAUAAUCCUUGAAAAAUACCAAAAAAUAGUUUCAUGUUAUAAUAUAGUUGUUUUAAUUAAUUAGGAUUGAUUUUAAAUUUUUAUGGUAUGAUAUUUCAGGAAAAGAAAUUAAUAUUUUAGCUUUGUAGAAUUAAAGGGCCACUUUUAAAGGCAAAUUUGGCCCAAACUUGAGCCCAAAUUUAGCAGCCCACUCCUCCCUUCAGCCCAUUUAUCCAUUCCCUAACUCACAACACUUUUAUAAUCCAAAUUAAACCUAAAUUCCUAGACCACCUAAUUCUAGAGUCAACCGUAACACACAAAAGAAAAGAACGGCCUCCUCUUCAAACUCGAUCUCUCUCAAUCUUUGAGAGUUGUGGGCGACACAUAGAAGAACAAAACAAAAACGGCAAACACUCACAACCUAGCGUCCCCCCCCCCCCCCUUCUGAUAUCUUCUUUAUUCUCAAAAUCAAAGAAACACACACGCACGCACAAGAUCUGGACAAAAAGGAAACAAAGAGGGAAAUAUGGGUUCGGCUAAUAUAGUGAUGACAUAAACAUAGGCCUUUUUUGUUGUUACUUGGCGGAAUUAGGAAAGUUGGAAAGCAGAUCCAUUUAGGGGAGGAACGGAUGGGACAGUAGCGUAAAAAACGGAGGAAAAACGAGCACAAAGCUUUUCAUAAGAAAGAUCAUUGUUGAGGUUUUCCCAUCCGAGGUCUUGUUCACCUUUUUGGUCCGCUGUUCAGGUGUAGAUUUGAAGUGCUAUUGUCGGAUUGAACAAUAUUGUUGCUUGCAGGGAGAUCUUUCAUCAAUUAAAUUUUGAUCACUGUUUGGGUUCCACUUGAGGUCAACUCCUUACUUUGUUCUUUAAUCUCCUAUACGUGUGAUCCAUGAUUGCUUGAGCUUCAUGUUUUAAUUGUUACUGCAUGACUGAUUUUUCAUGUUUUGUUUCAAGUCCCUUUGAGUUGAAUUUUUAAGUAUAAAUAUUGUUGAAUUCUUGUAUCAUUUGAUAGAAGGGUUCGGGCUUAAACGUAAAUGACAAUUGAGAUUGAAAAUGUUUUAUUACUUUUAUUUAUCGCUUAUCGCUAAUAGCAUUCUUAGGGUGACCACGCCAAGGUAGGCAAACUUUAGGUUUUUUUUCUUUUCUUUUAUUCGAGGUGAGUGGUCGUUCCAUUUAGUACAUAUUCAGGGGAAUGCCCCGUAGACUUUGUAUAUUUUUUAUUCGGGGUAUGCCCCGUAGUAUCAUGUAUUUGGAGGCCGCAACGAACCUCGUGGAAAAGUAUAGUAUAUAUUAGUAUUUAGGAC